CUGCGGUGAAUACGUUCCCGGGUCUUGUACACACCGCCCGUCAAACCACGAAAGUCACCAAUACCCGAAGUCUGACAUUAGUCGGCCUAAGGUAGGGGGAUGAUUGGGGUU
rnacentral:rRNA from 1 species